AGGUAGGAGAAUUGCUUGAACCUGGGAGGUGGAGGUUGCAGUGAGCUGAGAUCACGCCACUGCACUCCAGCCUGGGCCA
rnacentral:miRNA from 1 species